GGUACAGGGUGAUAGUCCCGUACACCAAAAUGCACAGGUUGUGAACUCGAAGAGUAGGGCGGGACACGUGGUAUCCUGUCUGAAUAUGGGGGGACCAUCCUCCAAGGCUAAAUACUCCUGACUGACCGAUAGUGAACCAGUACCGUGAGGGAAAGGCGAAAAGAACCCCGGCGAGGGGAGUGAAAAAGAACCUGAAACCGUGUACGUACAAGCAGUGGGAGCCUCUUUAUGGGGUGACUGCGUACCUUUUGUAUAAUGGGUCAGCGACUUAUAUUCUGUAGCAAGGUUAACCGUAUAGGGGAGCCGAAGGGAAACCGAGUCUUAACUGGGCGUUAAGUUGCAGGGUAUAGACCCGAAACCCGGUGAUCUAGCCAUGGGCAGGUUGAAGGUUGGGUAACACUAACUGGAGGACCGAACCGACUAAUGUUGAAAAAUUAGCGGAUGACUUGUGGCUGGGGGUGAAAGGCCAAUCAAACCGGGAGAUAGCUGGUUCUCCCCGAAAGCUAUUUAGGUAGCGCCUCGUGAAUUCAUCUUCGGGGGUAGAGCACUGUUUCGGCUAGGGGGUCAUCCCGACUUACCAACCCGAUGCAAACUGCGAAUACCGAAGAAUGUUAUCACGGGAGACACACGGCGGGUGCUAACGUCCGUCGUGAAGAGGGAAACAACCCAGACCGCCAGCUAAGGUCCCAAAGUCAUGGUUAAGUGGGAAACGAUGUGGGAAGGCACAGACAGCCAGGAUGUUGGCUUAGAAGCAGCCAUCAUUUAAAGAAAGCGUAAUAGCUCACUGGUCGAGUCGGCCUGCGCGGAAGAUGUAACGGGGCUAAACCAUGCACCGAAGCUGCGGCAGCGACACUAUGUGUUGUUGGGUAGGGGAGCGU
rnacentral:rRNA from 1 species